rnacentral:rRNA from 1 species
ACUGCUCAGUAACACGUGGACAACCUGCCCUUAGGUUGGGUAUAAACCCGGGAAACUGGGUAUAAUACCCGAUAGGUCUCGAUUGCUGGAAUGCAUCGAGAUUUAAAGCUCCGGCGCCUAAGGAUGGGUCUGCGGCCUAUCAGGUAGUAGUGGGUGUAGCGUACCUACUAGCCUACGACGGGUACGGGUUGUGAGAGCAAGAGCCCGGAGAUGGAUUCUGAGACACGAAUCCAGGCCCUACGGGGUGCAGCAGGCGCGAAAACUUUACAAUGCUGGCAACAGCGAUAAGGGAACCUCGAGUGCCAGGUUACAAAUCUGGCUGUCGAGAUGCCUAAAAAGCAUUUCAUAGCAAGGGCCGGGCAAGACCGGUGCCAGCCGCCGCGGUAACACCGGCGGCUCGAGUGGUAACCGUUAUUAUUGGGUCUAAAGGGUCUGUAGCCGGCCGGAUAAGUCUCUUGAGAAAUCUGGCAGCUUAACUGUCAGGCUUUCAGGAGAUACUGUCUGGCUCGAGGCCGGGAGAGGUGAGAGGUACUUCAGGGAUAGGGGUGAAAUCUUGUAAUCCUUGAAGGACCACCAGUGGCGAAGGCGUCUCACCAGAACGGACCUGACGGCAAGGGACGAAAGCUAGGGGCACGAACCGGAUUAGAUACCCGGGUAGUCCUAGCCGUAAACGAUACUCGCUAGGUGUCGGCCACGGUGCGACCGUUGUCGGUGCCGUAGGGAAGCCGUGAAGCGAGCCACCUGGGAAGUACGGGCCGCAAGGCUGAAACUUAAGGAAUUGGCGGGGGAGCAC